rnacentral:rRNA from 1 species
AUUGAACGCUGGCGGCAGGCUUAACACAUGCAAGUCGAGCGGGGGAAGGUAGCUUGCUACCGGACCUAGCGGCGGACGGGUGAGUAAUGCUUAGGAAUCUGCCUAUUAGUGGGGGACAACAUCUCGAAAGGGAUGCUAAUACCGCAUACGUCCUACGAGAGAAAGCAGGGGAUCUUCGGACCUUGCGCUAAUAGAUGAGCCUAAGUCGGAUUAGCUAGUUGGUGGGGUAAAGGCCUACCAAGGAGACGAUCUGUAGCGGGUCUGAGAGGUUGAUCCGCCACACUGGGACUGGGACGCGGCCCAGACUCCUACGGGAGGCAGCAGUGGGGAAUAUUGGACAAUGGGGGGAACCCUGAUCCAGCCAUGCCGCGUGUGUGAAGAAGGCCUUAUGGUUGUAAGGCACUUUAAGCGAGGAGGAGGCUCUUUUGGUUAAUACCCAAGAUGAGUGGACGUUACUCGCAGAAUAAGCACCGGCUAACUCUGUGCCAGCAGCCGCGGUAA